rnacentral:rRNA from 1 species
AUUGAACGCUGGCGGAAUGCUUUACACAUGCAAGUCGAACGGUAGAGGGGGCAACCCCUCGAGAGUGGCGAACGGGUGAGUAAUGCAUCGGAACGUGCCGUGUAGUGGGGGAUAACGUAGCGAAAGUUACGCUAAUACCGCAUACGCCCUGAGGGGGAAAGUGGGGGACCGCAAGGCCUCACGCUAUACGAGCGGCCGAUGUCGGAUUAGCUAGUUGGUAGGGUAAAGGCCUACCAAGGCGACGAUCCGUAGCGGGUCUGAGAGGAUGAUCCGCCACACUGGGACUGAGACACGGCCCAGACUCCUACGGGAGGCAGCAGUGGGGAAUAUUGCACAAUGGAGGAAACUCUGAUGCAGCAACGCCGCGUGGAGGAUGACGCAUUUCGGUGUGUAAACUCCUUUUAUAAGGGAAGAUAAUGACGGUACCUUAUGAAUAAGCACCGGCUAACUCCGUG